rnacentral:rRNA from 1 species
GAUGAACGCUAGCUACAGGCUUAACACAUGCAAGUCGAGGGGCAGCAUGGUCUUAGCUUGCUAAGGCCGAUGGCGACCGGCGCACGGGUGAGUAACACGUAUCCAACCUGCCCUUUACUCGGGGAUAGCCUUUCGAAAGAAAGAUUAAUACCCGAUAGUAUAAUGAUUCCGCAUGGUUUCAUUAUUAAAGGAUUCCGGUAAAGGAUGGGGAUGCGUUCCAUUAGGUUGUUGGUGAGGUAACGGCCCACCAAGCCUUCGAUGGAUAGGGGUUCUGAGAGGAAGGUCCCCCACAUUGGAACUGAGACACGGUCCAAACUCCUACGGGAGGCAGCAGUGAGGAAUAUUGGUCAAUGGGCGCUAGCCUGAACCAGCCAAGUAGCGUGAAGGAUGAAGGCUCUAUGGGUCGUAAACUUCUUUUAUAUAAAGAAUAAAGUGCAGUAUGUAUACUGUUUUGUAUGUAUUAUAUGAAUAAGGAUCGGCUAAACUCCGUGCCAGCCGCCGCGGUAG